CAAUGCAAAAUAGAUAAGAAUCAAAUCUUAGAUUCUUUCAUACUAAGUUAUUUUAGCAUCUAUUCUAUAUGCAUGGAUUAAGACAAUUUAAGUAAUCUUCUAGAUCUAUAUCUAUAGAUUUCUAUAUUCAAUAUAUAGAUUAUUUUUUUCAAUUUUUUUAUUAAAAUUUUUUUAAAUAACUAAAAUUUUAUUAAUUUAAAAAAAAUAUUAUUUUUAAAUAUAUCAUUCAAAUAUAAUAUUAAAAAAACAACAUCAUCAUAGAUAAUAUAGAGAGAGAUGUUCUCCUUCUUCAUGAAGUCAUUCUCCUCGUGAAGUGCAUCCACUGAUUUCUGUUGGAGCUUCUUUCUUCUUUGUUUAAUUCUGGCCUUAUAGCCACGAAUAACAAGAAAUUAGCAUCUAUCUCCUCUUGGAUUCAACAGAUCAAGGCGGCGUCUCAGUUUAAAAAUACAAGGCAAUUAAUGUGUUUCUCCUCUUGGCUUCAACAAACUCAAGGGAAGUCUCAGUCUCUCUUAUGUUAUCACACGGUAAUAGUUUUGGAUCUGCCUUUAGUAGAUCAAUCCUUCUCAACCCUAACAGGAGGCUCUAGUGGCUAUGGGGAGUGUAUCUCCCUAUAAGCAUCGUUCCAUGGUGGAGGGUUGUUCCGAUUACGAUCCUUUUACAGUUGAUUCAGGUUCAUGGAUGUUUGCCUCUUAGUGGAGGAGCCUUUUGUUGUCCCCUGACCUUGCUAUGUCCAAUAGGGACCUGGUCAUGUGUUGAUUUAUUGUGUUGCUGCAGUAGGUGCAAUGUCUAGUGAUGGGUGCUGCUCUUACCGCCUUUGAAUGUCCAGUAUUCCUUGUUGUGCUGGAUGCUUUGCUUUCCCUCUGGAAAUCCUGCAUGUUGUAAUGCAUGCUGCCUCAAGGGUGCAUGGUGCAUCCUCAGCUAUUUUGAUCAUGAUUGUUGAUCCUCUAGGUCAUUCAGCUAUCCUUCUAUUGGAAACUGACUUCAUCUAGUUUGUUGGGCAGUGAUGCUCUUCUCUUAUUGCUUGGUUUUGUUGGUUAAUUGACAACCACCUUUUCUAUUCAGGCUUUGACCUGGCACCUUUGUUCAGAGAGGAUGUUCCCUUUGGUCUUUUUUAUUGUAAAUUCUUGUUCCCUUUGGUCUUUUUUUAUUGUAAAUUCUUGUCCGUUAAGUUCA